rnacentral:rRNA from 1 species
AGAACUUAGCAGAGAUGCUUUGGUGCCUUCGGGAACUCUGAGACAGGUGCUGCAUGGCUGUCGUCAGCUCGUGUUGUGAAAUGUUGGGUUAAGUCCCGCAACGAGCGCAACCCUUAUCCUUUGUUGCCAGCGGUCCGGCCGGGAACUCAAAGGAGACUGCCAGUGAUAAACUGGAGGAAGGUGGGGAUGACGUCAAGUCAUCAUGGCCCUUACGAGUAGGGCUACACACGUGCUACAAUGGCGCAUACAAAGAGAAGCGACCUCGCGAGAGCAAGCGGACCUCAUAAAGUGCGUCGUAGUCCGGAUUGGAGUCUGCAACUCGACUCCAUGAAGUCGGAAUCGCUAGUAAUCGUAGAUCAGAAUGCUACGGUGAAUACGUUCCCGGGCCUUGUACACACCGCCCGUCACGCCAUGGGAGUGGGUUGCAAAAGAAGUAGGUAGCUUAACCUUCGGGAGGGCGCUUACCACUUUGUGAUUCAUGACUGGGGUGAAGUCGUAACAAGGUAGGCGUAGCGAG